AGUCCAUAGCAAAAUUUUACAAACAAACAAUGGGUGGCACUAAUAGUCCAAUCCCACACUCUUAUCCCUCAAAACAAACAUGCUCUUAGUGUUAUUGCAUGACAUAUGCAUGUUUUUAUUCCAUGUUUGAGUGCUUUAAGUUGAAUUAGUCUCUUUGAUAUUUGUGAUGCUUUGUAGUAUGCCUUGAUAUGAAAUGAGUUGAAGUUUAGAGGUCUAAGAUUGAGAAAAUUCUCAUUUGAACAAGGUGUUGACAGUGUGUCUCCGCUAAGAUGAAGGCCAUGGAAGAUUUUGGGAGCUAAGGCUCAUUGUUUGUUAUUUUUGUUAAGCCUAGUGCUUAACUUGUAUUUGGGUUGAAAUCUUUUUAUUAAUUGUAACAAGGCUAGGCCCCUGAAAUGUAUAAGCCUCUUGAAAUGUAUAAGCCUUUAGGGCAUUUAUCUUGGUUAUUGUUCAAUUUUAUAGGUUUUUAGGGUUAUGAUUGUACCAAUGCAUGUAAUUAACUUUUGAAAUCUCAAGGCAAUGUUUGGAAUGAAAUAUAUAUAUAUAUAUAUAUAAUGAAAGAGAUUGUUUUAUUUAA